UACGAGUUUCGAUCCUGGCUCAGGACGAACGCUGGCGGCGUGCUUAACACAUGCAAGUCGAACGCUGAAACCAGAGCUUGCUUUGGUGGAUGAGUGGCGAACGGGUGAGUAACACGUGGGUGAUCUGCCUACACUUUGGGAUAAGCCUGGGAAACUGGGUCUAAUACCGAAUAUUCACACCACCGUAGGGGUGGUGUGGAAAGCUUUAUGCGGUGUGGGAUGAGCCUGCGGCCUAUCAGCUUGUUGUGGGGUAAUGGCCUACCAAGGCGUCGACGGGUAGCCGGCCUGAGAGGGUGUACGGCCACAUUGGGACUGAGACACGGCCCAGACUCCUACGGGAGGCAGCAGUGGGGAAUAUUGCACAAUGGGCGCAAGCCUGAUGCAGCGACGCCGCGUGGGGGAUGAAGGCCUUCGGGUUGUAAACUCCUUUCGCCAGGGACGAAGCCUUUUAGGUGACGGUACCUGGAGAAGAAGCACCGGCUAACUACGUG
rnacentral:rRNA from 1 species